rnacentral:rRNA from 1 species
GUAAAGCGCGCGCAGGCGGAUCAGUCAGUCUGUCUUAAAAGUUCGGGGCUUAACCCCGUGAUGGGAUGGAAACUGCUGAUCUAGAGUAUCGGAGAGGAAAGUGGAAUUCCUAGUGUAGCGGUGAAAUGCGUAGAUAUUAGGAAGAACACCAGUGGCGAAGGCGACUUUCUGGACGAAAACUGACGCUGAGGCGCGAAAGCCAGGGGAGCGAACGGGAUUAGAUACCCCGGUAGUCCUGGCCGUAAACGAUGGGUACUAGGUGUAGGAGGUAUCGACCCCUUCUGUGCCGGAGUUAACGCAAUAAGUACCCCGCCUGGGGAGUACGACCGCAAGGUUGAAACUCAAAGGAAUUGACGGGGGCCCGCACAAGCGGUGGAGUAUGUGGUUUAAUUCGACGCAACGCGAAGAACCUUACCAGGGCUUGACAU